rnacentral:lncRNA from 1 species
UUUCUAUGUUAGUUGAGUAAGGAUGCUGACCUACUGAUCGGAUCUCCAGCCCAGGACUAUGGUUUUCCAAUAGUUAGAGGUCAUUGAUCCUGAAGGAAAAUUUUUUGCCUAAGAAUUGGAGCUGCCUGAUCUCUACAUAUUGCAAAUGGUCUGACCUUUUCAUUCAAUAGUCACUAGGCAUGGACAGCCUGGUUCUGAGUGUGCAAAGCUGUGGCUUCCCCUCCUAUAGACGCCUUCUGAACAGCAAAUCUGACUUCCUCCUCAGACCAAGGCAUCCUGAAAACAUCCAAGCAGAGGAAGCAUUUUUUCACCAUGACAUGGGAAAGGGCCACAGAGAUCCAAAUGGAAACGGACAUUUCAUACCAAUGCAUUGGAUGAUAACUGGUACAUCGUCAAGGGACAGAAGUGUCAACAGAAACCAUGGAUAUUGUUUGUAGACUAUGGCAUCACAAGAUGAAAAAAAUAUGGAUCCCUGUGUCACUAAUUGGAAGAGAGUGAUCAAGAGAGCUAUGAACAAUACAUAUAUAUUUUAUUAAGCUCCUGAGAUUUGGGGAUUGUUGGCUACAACAGUCAUACUUACACAUUUUCCCAUAUCCUAUUCUUUACCAAACCAUCAGAAUGAACCUAUUAAAACCAAGGUAAAAUUACAUCACUCUUUCGUUCACUUACUUUAUUCAAUCACAUAGGCCUUCAAGCUGUUCCUGGAGUGUACCAACUACUACUUCACUUCAGGCCUUUUACAUGCUCUUUCCUAUCCCUGGAGGGAUCUAUCCCUAGUUCUUUGUAGGCCUGCUCCCUUAUCUCCUUGAUCAUUCUCUUUGUGAGGCUUUCCUAGACCUACUUACUUAAAAUGGACUCUUUCAAUCUAAUAUAUUGCCCUUCCCAUUUGAAUUUUCUUGAGAAUGUGUAUCUCACACAUUCAGUAUUUUAUGUUUUAUCUCUUUGAAUCCCAGUACCAAGAAAUAUGUCUAGACCAUUGUAGGAAUUCAGUAAGUAUUUGUUAAAUUAUGAAUGGAUUAAGAAUAUGUGGCAUAUAUACAUAAUGGAAUACUACUCAGCCAUUAAAUGAACAAUAACAAAAUAAUGCCAUUUAUAGCAACAUGGAUGGAACUAGAGACUCUCAUACUAAGUGAAAUAAGUCAGAAAGAGAAAGAUGAAUACCAUAUGAUAUCACUUCUAUCUGGAAUCUAAUAUAAGACACAAAUGAACCUUUCCACAGAAAAGAAAAUCAUGGACUUGGAGAAAAGACUUGUGGUUACCAAGGGGGAGGGGGAGGGAGUGGGAUGGACUGGGAAUUUGGUGUUAAUAGAUGCAAACUAUUGCCUUUGGAAUGGAUUAGCAAUGAGAUCCUGCUGUGUAGCACUGGGAACUAUAUCUAGUCACUUAUGAUGUAGCAUGAUAAUGUGAGAAAAAAGAAUGUGUACAUGUAUGUGUAACUGGGUCACCAGGCUGUACAGCAGAAAAUUGACAGAACACUGAAAACCAGCUAUAAUGGAAAAAAUAAAAAUCAUUUUAAAAAGAAAAGAAAAUAAUUU